AGACUCUCUUAUCACUGGGAGCGCAUGAUUUACUUGAAACUCGGAUUUUAUUCCGCGGUGUUGAAAUUCUCAAGAGCUCGCAUUUCUCUCAUACUGCCUGGAUAUAUAUUGAAACCUGAUCCCUUUAAACUCAGCUUCUUUCAAUGACAUUGCGAGAAUUUCUUGAAAAUCAGUCGUGGGAUCGACUAGAAUAGAGGUGGCGGUCGAAUGUUUCGGCCCUUGUGAUUAGCAUAAACAAAGUUUAAACCGAAGAUACAUGCCAGCGACUGAAAGGCUGCUUUCAUUGGCGCAAGAGCUCGCAGUCCCAUAUGUGAGCUCACCAUGGUCGGGAAGCUCGAUUUGCUGCUCGGCGUCAGAAUUUGUUUAUUAGUGCGCAUUUUUCUCGUCGAAACCGAUUUCACCCCUCGAGGCUGGAUUCAUUUGCAACUCCAAAUUGUUGUGCACCAUAAUUUCACUCAUCGGAGACAUAAUUCGGGAGAGUGUUAGCUGAAUGGAAUAGAAACUACUAAGUAUUGGUAGAUGUCCAAAGCAAAUGAAAGAUAUGUCCCCUCUGAACCCGCGCUCAGCCCGUAUUUGUAGACACGAGAGCUACGAUCCCGAAAGUCCCUAAUUAUAACACUGUGAGUAUUAUUUUAAUUUUAAUUCAGAACGAACGAGCAAAUUUAUCACAAUAUUUGUGGAUAUGAUAAACUCUUUAGAUGUGUACAAUUUCUUGAAUAGGGAGGAUUAUGGGUAGCUUGUUAAAUAUGAAAAUGACCGAACUUAGAUAAUUCAUCUAAUCACAGAGACCCUCAAACCCUUGAUUUUGACAUUGAUUAAAGAAAGCAUAUAUUUGAUAAAGCAUCAUGUAC
rnacentral:lncRNA from 1 species